GAUGAACGCUAGCGGCAGGCCUAACACAUGCAAGUCGAGGGGCAGCACAGGUAGCAAUACUGGGUGGCGACCGGCGGAUGGGUGCGUAACGCGUAUGCAACCUACCAUUGAUUGGGGCAUAGCCCGAAGAAAUUCGGAUUAAUACUCCAUAAUAUUCAUCAAAGGCAUCUUUUAUGAAUUAAAGCUUUUGCGAUCAAUGAUGGGCAUGCGUGACAUUAGUUAGUUGGUGAGGUAACGGCUCACCAAAACGAUGAUGUCUAGGGGUUCUGAGAGGAUUAUCCCCCACACUGGUACUGAGACACGGACCAGACUCCUACGGGAGGCAGCAGUGAGGAAUAUUGGUCAAUGGACGCAAGUCUGAACCAGCCAUGCCGCGUGCAGGAUGACGGCCCUAUGGGUUGUAAACUGCUUUUCCACGGGAAGAACCCUCCGACGUGUCGGAGACUGACGGUACCGUGGGAUAAGCAUCGGCUAACUCCGUG
rnacentral:rRNA from 1 species